GGACACCUGACAGGGCAGAAAAAGUAGAGAGGAUCUGGAGGGACAAAAAAUAAACAGUACAAGCUGGUAUUAGUUGUAAUCAGAAAAUGAGGUGUUAUUUAUAUAAAAAUGAACCUCAGCAGACUAGAAAUCAAGCAGCAUCAGUGAACUUAUUUUUACAGCCACGAUUCUGAGCUAACCCUAUGUUCAGCUUCAGGAAUGUGGAGAUGUUAUCAGACAUGGCCUGAGGCUCCCUGAAGAAGAGAGACAUGUAACCAACAACUAAAACACAGGAGCAGUCCAGGGAGAUGAUGCAGCUGCCUGGUUGCUGGUCACCAGGGCUGUUGGACACCUGUGUGGAGGACCUGGGAGAAGUCUUUUGCUCCACACUUGCUCCUUUCCUGCCAGCCUCAUACACAGGACCUGAUAGAGAGGUGGUUUCUGGUCCUGUUUAUCUCAUAAAUGGAUGCAGGAACGGAUGA
rnacentral:lncRNA from 1 species